AUUGAACGCUGGCGGCAGGCCUAACACAUGCAAGUCGAGCGGAGCGGCGGACGGGUGAGUACUGCCUAGGAAUCUGCCUGGUAGUGGGGGAUAACGUCCGGAAACGGGCGCUAAUACCGCAUACUAUCAGAUGAGCCUAGGUCGGAGUAGCUAGUUGGUGGGGUAAAGGCCGACCAAGGCGACGAGGCGUAACUGGUCUGAGAGGCUGAUCAGUCACACUGUAACUGAGACAAGGUCCAGACUCCUACGGGAGGCAGCAGUGUGGAAUAGUGGACAAUGGGCGAAAUCCUGAGCCAGCCAUGCCGCGUGUGUGAAGAAUGUUGUCGGAUUGUAAAGCACUUUAAGUUGGGAGGCGUUACCAACAGAAUAAGCACCGGCUAACUUCGUGCCAGCCGCCGCGGUAAUUC
rnacentral:rRNA from 1 species